AGUGAGGAAGACGUGCGCCAUCGGCAGUUGCAUAGAGUUACGAAAGUCAUGUCUAGUUGUUUAGUUAAUAUGGGGAGUUGUCUUUGAGUGUUGUCUGUGCGUUCGUCUACCAUUUUUGGAUAUCGCCGACAAAAGCCCCAGAUCAGAGGCAAAUCGGCGUUUGCUCGGGGAUCGGAAAUCGGCUCUCGAUCGAACCACACAUACCCACUAUCACUCAAUAAAGAACAUUUGAGAGAAGAUCACGUUGUGGUGUUUGGCAACCCCUCAUAAGGAAACGGACAUCACGUUCUAACCGGACACCUUACAGCGAUUCGUACGAUCCGAACCCAGCAAGUCCACCAUUAGCUCACUCCAAACUCCACAUAAUUUACAGCAGCAUUUCCCAAACCUCUCCUGGAGGACCCCUUGUCCUGCAUGUUUUAGAUUUCUCCCUG